CAGCAGCCACGGGAAUACGGAGGGUGCAAGCGUUAUCCGGAUUUAUUGGGUUUAAAGGGUCCGUAGGCGGAUCUGUAAGUCAGUGGUGAAAUCUCACAGCUUAACUGUGAAACUGCCAUUGAUACUGCAGGUCUUGAGUAAAUUUGAAGUGGCUGGAAUAAGUAGUGUAGCGGUGAAAUGCAUAGAUAUUACUUAGAACACCAAUUGCGAAGGCAGGUCACUAAGAUUUAACUGACGCUGAUGGACGAAAGCUUGGGGAGCGAACAGGAUUAGAUACCCCCGUAGUCCCUGUCUCUUAUAC
rnacentral:rRNA from 1 species